ACCCUGCCAGCCUCCCUGCUGCAGCCGGCAGCACGUCACUCCAUGCGGGAGGGGAGCCCCACCUAAGGGUACCGAGUGAGACCCAGCUGACCUGGAAAAUGACAGGGACACUUUUUAUCCUUCCAACUUAACCUUUCCGUCCUGACUUAACCUUUCCCUCUUUGACACAAAUGAAGAAAUUAGGGCUCUUGACUGCUACUGAUUUAAGGGGAUUACAGAGGCACUGCCAGCGAGCAUGAGCACAAGAGUUUAGCGCCUCUCGGCAGCUGAGAGAGGAUGCUGCAUACUUGGGGCCUGGGACCUCCGAGAAGACCUUCUUCAGCCGAAAGCACACCUUAUUCUUGUCCCAGUUGAAGGCUUCCCAACGGUCUUCAUGUGGCACUUGCUGUGUGCCAGGCCCCACUCUGGGCACUUGGUUUAUUUAAUUCUAACCAUGGUCCUAGGUGAUGGGCGCUGGUAUGACUGUGGGAAAGGGACAAGGUGGGAGAUGUGAACGAACUUCCGGAGCCCUCCCUCGGGCAGCCUAGCUCCCCGCCUCCUCCAACACCUUCUGUUGCUUUUCCAGCACAGCCAGUACUGGGCUCUUGGGUUCGAGCACGGGGCGGGGUGAAGGGUGCUGGGAGGUCACAUUCUUGCUUCCCAGCACUGAAGACUGGAAGAAUGAAUGGCACAGAUGAACAAGGCCGUCCUGCAUCCGCCGCUCACUAGAGGCUUCACAGCUGCGUAGGGACACAGGACAUCUGUACAAUAAAUACCAAUGGUAUUAGUGCCCUAGGGCUGCAGGAACAAAGCACCACAGACUGGGGGUGCUGGAACAGCAGAAACUCAGGCUCUCCCAUUUCUGGAUGCCGGAAGUCCAAAAUCUAGUGUCGGCAGGGCUGUGUCCUCUCUGAGGUUUCCAGGGGAGGAGGCUUCCUUGCUUCUCUGGCUUCUGGUGGUGGCUGGCAAUGCUCGGCAUUCCUUGGCUUAUGGACGCAGCACUGAAAUUGCAGCCCUUAUCUUCAUGUGGCCUUCCUUGUGGCGCUCUGUGUCCAAAUGUCCCUCUCCUCUAAGGACACCAGUCAUCGGAUUAGGCCAGCUCUAAUCCGGUGUGCCUCAUCUUGAUUUAACUAACUACAUCUGCAAAGACACUAUUUCCAGAUUACGUCACGUUCCGAGGUUCCUGGUGGACGUGAAUUUUUGGAAGACGCUGUCCAACCUGGGACACCAGCCAGCCCCUCUCUGGCUCCCUCAGUCCCUCCACCCUUCGGAAGUGGUAAAUGGUGGCUUGCUAACAGCGCCUGUAGCAGCCACCUCCUGGUGAUGGCAAAGGAAGGGCCCUCUCAGUCAUAGGGGCCAAUGGCGAGGAGGACCUGGGACGUGGUGCACUGAGCAUUUUCCCUUCUCAGCAGCUCACUCCUUUGUGUGUCUGUGAUGCGAAGGCUGUGACAUCAGUCAGCCUCAUGGAGAACUGGAACAACGGGCUCUGUGUCUUUGGAGAACGCGUCAAGACCAGGGCCUCUUCCCCUGCUCCCAUGGUUCCCAGCGUUCUUGUCUCCUGAGAGAGGAUGUAGUGGGUGUCAUGUUCAGCAUCGCAACUGGCCUCCGUGGAAACCAGGGUGGAGCUCAGACGGGUGUGGGGGGAGCAUGUGACUGAGCUCCUUCCCACUCUCUCUCCGGCACACACGGAGUCAGUGUAGGGAGGUGAUGGGUAAGGGCUUGAGUUUUGGGGUUGCACAGCUUGUGGGGACCCCACCUCAUUUCCUAGCUAGGCAGACCUGGCCCAGUGUCUGACCUUUCCCAUCUGUAAAUUAGGGGUGCAAAUAGCAUCCACCUCCGGGGUGUGGUGAAGGUGGAGCCAGUACCCAGCCAGUCCAGCUCUUUUUUGUUAGGAUUGCCCCACUGCGGCCACACCCUUCCAUCUGCCCGCUCCUGUUCCCGCAGGUAGACUCAGCCUGUGGGAUUCUGGCCUGGCUUCCCGGCAGCAAGCAGGAGCUUCAGAUGCUCAUUCCCGCCGCGGUCGGCUGUGGCGGCGACUCAUACCCGUUUCCGCUCGAAUGAUGCCAGCUGUCCUGCUGCGCCACCUUCCUCUGUCCUCGCAUCCGCUGAUGGGAUUUCCGGUCGCUUCCACUUUGUGGCUCUUUUGAAGAAUGCCGCUAGGAACAUUCACACGCAGGUUUUUGGUGUGGACGUUCUUGGCCAUAAAAUAUGGCUUUUGGAAAAAUAAAGCUGAGACUUGGAGUUCACGGUGGGGGCUCCCCCAUCUGUGAACAGAAGCAGAAGUUUGGAACUGCCUUCUUUACUGCUCGAGAGGGAAAACUUGAGUGAAAACCAGGAUGCUGGCGAAUGUUGAGUAGCUAAGCUGCACAGGAAAUACCACUUGAUGACCUGCGAUCUGGGGAAGCCGCGCCAGGGCUCUGCGAAGCUGCGGACGAGGGAGGCGUCAGUGUGGGGGCUGCAGCUCAGCUCCGGGGGGGACGCGCCUUUCUCCACGGGACCUGGGGCUCAGGUGCUCACGAGGCUGGGGCGCUGCAGGCCACCCGCAGGGGAAACUGAGGCCCUCCAUUUUGUGGGGCUGGAAGACCUUUCCUUCCAAAAGCAGGUGUAGGCGGGAGCACCUGUGCAGUCCCUCUGUUCAGAUCCUCACCCACUUUUAAAUCAGGAAACAGCAGAUGAAAUGCACAGUGUGAAGGACAAGGAUUCUGCUGAGAGAAUUGCUCCGAGGGUUGCUCAAGUGAUCAUGGGAAAUAAUGCAUCAAACCAUUCUUUAGAUGCAGCUCAGGUGUGCCUUUUCUUCGCCUGUGCCCAUCCACCUGAGAUGGACCAUAACCAUAAAAGUCAGAAGGCACUGACCCUUCAGGACGUGACAGGGUUAAAAGAUGCUGGAGGGAAAGUCUGUCAUUGACUUUUAUUCACUUCCUUUCUCCAUUCUGCCAUUUGGAAGAAGGCUGGAGUGCAAUGGCGCGAUCUCGGCUCACUGCAACUUCCGCCUCCCAGGUUCAAGUGAAUCUCCUGCCUCAGCCUUCCGAGUAGCUGGGACUACAGGCACGUGCCACCAUGCCCAGCUAAUUUUUGUAUUUUUAGUAGAGAUGGGGUUUCACCAUGUUGGCCAGGAUGGUCUUGAUCUCUUGACCUCAUGAUCUGCCCGCCUCAGCCUCCUAGAGUGCUGAGAUUACAGGCGUGAGCCCCCGUGCCUGGCCUUGAAUGGGAUUAGUGUUUUAAAGAGGCCUGAGAGAGACUCCUGGCCACUUUUGCCUUAUGAGGACACAGUGGAAAGGUCCCAUCCCUGAACCAGGAAAUGGGCACUUACCAGACACUGAAUCUGCCUGCAGCUUGACCUUGAACUUCCCAGCCUCCAGAACUCUGAGGAAUAAAUUUCUGUUAUGUGAUAAGCCAUUCAGUCUGUGGUAUUUUGUUAUACCAGCCCAAACGGACUAAGACACAGAACAUAGCCUGUGCCUCUUCCAGUUUCUUCAGGAUCCUUCUGGGCUCAGAGAAUGGAGCUAAGAGGAAGAUUCUACCAUUAGGGCUGGUCUUCACCUGUCUCUUAAGACUGAUGGGCUCCCCAUUUGAAUGACAUUGAUCAACCCGACAUUAACCCAUUGGGUAUGGCUGGGGCAGCUCCUCUUAUCUGUGAGGUGGGAACCAGGUUGGUAAUGUUGCAUCCUGUUAGCCAGGUUCCUAGUUCAGUUUAGCUGUUGUGCAGGUCAAGGACUCUUAAGGAUUGAAUUGCAUCCCUUCAAAAGAUAUUGAAGUCCUAACCCCCAGAAUCGGUGACUGUGACCUUAUUUGGAAAUGGGUCUUUGCAGACACAAUCAAGUUAAGAUGAGGUCAUAUUGGAUUAAAGUGGUGUGUAAUUCAAUAGAUGAUCUCUUUAAUGAAAAGGGAAAUUUGUACUGAGAAACACAGAGGGAAAUGCUAUGUGAAGAUGGAGGCAGAGAUUGGAGUGAUUUGGAGCAAUGUGUAUGUCUGCAAGCCAAGGAACACCAAGUAUUGCCAGCCAUCACCAGAGCUGGAGGAGGGGCCUGGAACAGAUUCCCACUAGAGCCCCCAAAAGGAUCCAACCCUGCUGACACUUUGACUUUGGAGUUGUGGCCUUCAGAACUGUGAGAGAAUUAAUUUGUGUUGUUUUGAGCCACUCAGAGUGUGGUAUUUUGUUAUAGAAGUCCUUGGAUACUAAUAAAGACAUUAAUAGCCAGAUCGGAGGCACCCCCUCCAAGGCCUGAGAGAAGGUUGUUUUAUGGAACCCUGGUUUAGUAGCUGGGACCACAGAUGCGUGCCACCAUGCCUGGCUAUUUUUUUAAAUUUUUUGUACAGAUGGCAUCUUGCUGUGUUGCCCAGGAUUCUGGCUAGGGACUGUGGUUGCAGGUGCUGGGGCUAAUGAAAAUGGGCAAGAGCAGAAUAGCACAGUAACAUCUAUUCUCUAAAUCGACAAUCUUUUCCAGACUACGGUUUAAGAAUCUGUGCCCGAUGAAGCUGAAGGGGGCCUCAGAACUGGUCUCGUGGUCCUCCUCUCAGCUCUGAGGUACUUGUGGCUUGUGGCAGAGCCGCUAUGGACGUCGCUGACCUAGUGGUCAGUGCAUACAUCUGCAGAAAGGUCACUCUACAUUCAAGUGAACCAAUAGAGUGUCUAGAAAUCUCAAUUCAUGGUGUGUGGGGGCAAGAUGCCCAUUCUGACCCUUUAAGGGGGCAUCAACAUUUCAGAGGGUGGUAGGAGUGGUGAUGAGUCCUCCUUAGGGUGAAAGUUCACCCCUUUGGGCUACUAGAGGGCAGUCAUUGGUAUAAUUUCUCUAUUUUAAGCAUUCUGAUGUUUGAUUACAACUUACCCAUGGAAGGCUGAGUUUGUAGUUACUGAACCUUUCCAAGGCUGGGUAGCGUGCCUUCUCUCCCGAAUGCUAUGGAGUUCUACAGUGUGCCAGCAUCUGUUUCUGUAGCUCCUUCUUUCAUCACUGAUGGACGUUUAGAUUGUUUCCAGUUUCUACUACCACAAACAGUGCUUCAGUGACCAUCCUUAGCUGUGGCUUCUUGUGUAUGUGUGAGGAUUUCUUCAGAAUCAGGUCUCCACCUUGGACACUGUCCAUAUAUUGGGCCAGAUAAUUAUUUAGUGUUGGGGGUGCUGUCCUGUGCACUGUAGAACGCUUAGCAGCACUUAGCAGCAUCCCUGGCCUCCACCCACUAGGUGUCAGUAGUGUGCACUACUUAUCACCACCAAAAAUGUCCCCACAUGGUGUCAAAUAUCCACUGGGGGAAACAUUGGCCUUCCCGCCUGUUCAGAACCAUUGGGAUAGAUGAAAAAUGUGAGGCGGUGUUUUUUUUGUUGUUGUUUUUUGUUUUGUUUCGUUUUGUUUUAAGACAGGGUCUCGUUCUGUCAUCUAGACUGGAUCACAGUGGCAUGAUCACAGCUCACUGCAGCCUCAACCUCCUGGGCUCAAGUGAUCUGCCCACUUCAGCCUCCCCAGUAGCUGGGACCACAGGCGUAUGCCACCAUGCCCGGCUAUUCUUUUUUUAUUUUUUAUAGAAUGGCAUCUUUGCUAUGUUGCCCAGGCUGGUCUCAAACUCCUGGCCUCAAACAAUCCUCCUGCCUCAGCCUCCCAAAGUGCUGCGAUUACAGGCAUGAGCCACUGUGCCUGGCCAAGAGUGAGAUUUAUGAAUCAAAAGGUGCUAUGAUUUGAAUAUUCAUCCUCUCCCAAAUUCCUGUUGAAAUUUAGUUUCCACAAUGGCAGUAUUAAGAGGUGGGACCUUUAAGAGAUGAUUGGAAUAAUUCAUUCAUGGAUUAAUGGAUUAAUGAACUAAUAGAUUAUCAUGGAGUUAUAAGAAGAAGAGAACUUGAGCUUGUACUCCCAGCCCCUCGCCAUGUGGUCUCCUGGGCCAACUCAGGACUCUGCAGAGAGUUCUCCAUCAGCAAGAAAGCUCCUCACCAGAUGUGGCCCCUUGACCUUGAAUUCUUCAGCCUUCAUAACUGCAAGAAAUAAAUUUAUUUUCUUAUAAAUAGCCCAGUUUCAGGUAUUCUGUCAUAAGUAACAGAAAAGGGACUAAGACAAAGGGAAUGCAUGUUGAGUGUAAUACACAUGCUGAACAGUCAUACAGGGGCUGGGCACAUUCCACACUCCUGGAGGCAAUGUCUAAUAGACAUUCGACACCAUCACCAUACUUACAAGCCAUGCUGAUGGCUGAGACAGGGCGAAUCAUUUAGUUUUGGGUUUGAUUUUCUUAAUUAUUACCUAAACGUCUUCUCAUGUUUAUUAGUCAUUAGAAUUUCAUUUAUUAUGAGUUACCUAUUCAGUGUCUUUGUCUGUUUGUCUAUUCUUCUUCUUAUUGAUGUUCAGAGAAAAUAUCCAAAAUAUUUGACAACCAUGAGGGCACUGGAUCUUCAAAUGUCCAAACACCUGCCCCCAUAGGAUGGACACCAGCUGUUUACACCAACACAGGAGUCCUGGGUGCGGUGAAAGAACAUCUGCCAUGUGGAUUUGUUGCUGUUCUUAAUUUACUAUGGAAAUUAGCCUCUUGCCUGUGAUAGAAAUCACACGUAUUAUCUCUGAGUAGUCCCAUGUCUUAAAGCUUUGUUUGUUAUUUAAAUUUCAAAGUAGACAAAUUGAGAUGUCUUCUCUUCC
rnacentral:lncRNA from 1 species